rnacentral:tRNA from 1 species
GGGGCUGUAGCUCAGCGGUAGAGCACUUGCCUGGCAUACACAAGCCACUGGGUUCAAUCCCUAGUUCCA